rnacentral:rRNA from 1 species
CCUCGGGAUGCACCAGUGAGGAAUAUUGCACAAUGGGGGAAACCCUGAUGCAGCAACGCCGCGUGGAGGAUGACGCAUUUCGGUGUGUAAACUCCUUUUAUAUGUCAAGAAAAUGACGGUAGCAUAUGAAUAAGCACCGGCUAACUCCGUGCCAGCAGCCGCGGUAAUACGGAGGGUGCAAGCGUUACUCGGAAUCACUGGGCGUAAAGGACGCGUAGGCGGGUUGGAAAGUCAGGUGUGAAAUCCUACAGCUUAACUGUAGAACUGCACUUGAAACUUCUAAUCUAGAGUAUGGGAGGGGGAGAUGGAAUUAGUGGUGUAGGGGUAAAAUCCGUAGAUAUCACUAGGAAUACCUAAAGCGAAGGCGAUCUCCUGGAACAUUACUGACGCUAAGGCGUGAAAGCGUGGGGAGCAAACAGGAUUAGAUACCCCCGUAGUC